AUGAUGCCCCCCCACGGGGGCCUCACAGCGAUCCACGAUCGAAACUUGGCGGAGGGCCAGCUCGCGCCGUUCGAUCUGCAAACCAGCCCCGCGUCGAUCCGGGCCAUUCAUCUGUGGAACAAAACCGAAGACGACGAAACCCUAGCCCGAAGGCCCAAUCCCCUCGCUUCCUCCUCCCCAAUCGGCUGGCCUCCUCCUCCCCCAAUCGCACCUCGUCCCGUCGCCGCCGCCCCCGCCUCCACAUCGAUCCCAACCGCGCAUCCUCCCGUCGCCGCUGCCGCCGACGAAGGUCGUCGACCCAGACCGCGCCCCAUCCCCGUCGUGUGUGCUUCGUGGUCUUCUCCAUCGAGACAGCAAGCGAGGAGGUCGAGGAGGAAGCCCUCCAUGGUGCCGCUGGUGCCCUCCAUGGGCCGCCGCUGCUGGAGAUGAUGGCGAGGUUUGGCAGCACGGGGCACUUCGUGCCUCCCUCGAGCUGCUCGGCGUGGAGUCUGCGGCCGAGCCCCUCUUCAUCAUCCUCUUGCUUGAGGCGGCCAAGGUCGUCCUCGUCCUCCUCCUCGACAACCACGAUGGGGGCAAGGUCAUCCUCAACAGCCGACAUCCUUGACAACCGAAAGAUGAACAAACAAAAGAAGAUUAGAAGACAACCUGAAGAUUGGCCUGCCAGAUCCUCACCACCGAUUGCUGUUGUCAUCCAACUGUGACCUCACCAAGCUAGCCUUCUCCGUUCCUUCCUCUAUCUCUCUCACUCUCUCUCUCUCACAUGCCUCACAUCUCACCAAGACAUAGGUGAGGACAUGAGUAAACCAACAACGAAGGGUGCCAGUAUCCUUAUGUUGCCGCAUAUCAGAGACUAUGACCUGGAAGGAAGGGAAUUGGACAUGGCAUCUCGAUUCUUUGCAUACUAUUUUAUGAAGAAUUGUACUAAUAAGAUCUGAUCAUCUAAUGUUUUUCUUGAAAGGUGUAGACGGGAAAUAUGCCAGCAACAAUCAAGGCAUGGGAUAGGAGUGAAGAAAGUGAAGAAAUAUAUAAGCCUACCCAUUCUGAACAGAACUUGGCACAGGACAUUUUUUUGAUCAAAGAAAAUAUUCUCCUUUAUCAAAGUGUGCCCAUAUGUUCAAACUAGAGGACCAACCUAGUGGUUACAGUGUGCCGCGGCUGUUGAGAUGGAGACGAGGACUAGGUUCCAACGGUGUGAAGCAGAACCAUUUCCCUAAGGUCUUCCAUCAAACUGAAGCCUGCAUAUAUUGGCUUGAAGAGCAACGACACUUGAUUGGUAGUUAGUUUCCAUGAGAGUGAAUGAUUUUCAUGGUGUCCAUCCGCUGGCAUGCUACGCCUCCCAGUGUAGCCUUCUCGCUGAUUUAGACCCAGUUGUCGCAUCGCCAUUCUUGGUGUCGUCACCACGCAAGGAUAAGCUGGUGGAUGUUGGAUUUGGGCAGACAUUAGAUACCAGCAUAUAUUUCGAUAUCAUCGAGUUUCCUGGCAUUUGUCACUUAUGUGGAUAGAAGUACGACAUCAACGGAGCUUCUCAUGGUGCUACCGGCAAACCCUAGGGGCAGCGCUGGACAUGUGGUUUAUGGGCUGCCGCUCAUGUUGUUGCUGCUACUCAUCUUCAUUUGUAUCUGCAUUCAAUGGAGGAGCACAUGCUGAUGAACGAGGUCACUAAGCCAGGGUGAUUUGCCUCUCUUCGUCCCGGUCUCCCAUCUCUCUCUACUUAAUCCCCAUAGUUCCCCAUGUUUUUUUUUGCCUAGAAGAUGUUUGACAAAAACCAUCCAGGGGAAGAUUUUAUUGAUUCCCUCGAUCUGAUGUUUGUCCAUACUCGUGUUUGCGUUCCAGCCAAGGACUAAUUUGUUUUUGCUGUUUUUAGUGAUGCAAUUAUGCCCUGUUUUGCCUCCUCUCUUGCAAGGAUCACUCAGCUGUCACAUGCCCGUCUUGGGAUGAUCAUGGGUCACUAGCUAUAUAGUAUUGAAGGUGUUUGAUAAUUUUCUACUUUGCAGGUAUGUUGGCCAAGAAUAUGUAGGAGUUAUGAUUAACAAUCUGCAUUAAUUUAGCAUUUUUCUUACUACCAGUAUUCAUUAGUGUGCUCAAUGUGUUAUUAUCUUGCAUAAAAGGACAUGACUUUUAAUCACACCUUCGGUGUCAUUUUUUGGUUCAGAGAAAUUACUUUUAUUUUGUCUUCAAGGAAAUAUAUCCUUUAAUCCGAGUAAAAUAUUUUGAGGAUCCGUACUCAGUUUCUUCCCAUCCACUCUGCCAGUUCCUUUCCUGACGUGUGUGGUUGGUCUUCUGCAAGUUGCAACUAUGAUUAUAUUCAGAAAUCAUCUCUGAAUCCUUCUAACUCAAUUGUUUUCCAGGUUCUAGGAUUGCAAGAUUUCCUAAUCAUAUUCAGAAUGAUAUUACAUUUGAAGAGGACCCUGAAUGCUGGAGAAAGUGUUCAUUUUGCCUGUGUUUGGGUCUUACCAUAUGGUUGGAGCGAGGUGUGCAAUUUUUCUACGGAUUUGUCUCUUCCACUACAUUUUGGUUUAAUCCCCUAAUCUUUCAUUUUUGUUUGUCCAGAUUCCUUUUUAUUUAUGCCUACAUGAUCUUUGAUGAAAAUACAAGUGGGCAACAGAGAAAUAUUGAGGCCUGUAAUAUGCAUUCUACACAAUAGAUUUAUUUUCUGAUGUUUAGCUAAAAUAUGUGAUUUUUUUUGCUUUUAUAUCUUCCUGUCACUUGAGCUCAUCCAUCCAGAUUUAGGACCCGCCCAUUAUUCAUGUAUUAUGUCUCUUUUCACAUAGGUUGUUUCCCAGGCUGUUCAGUAUGCAAUAGUUUAUUCAGGACCUGCCAAUGUACCUCCAGGUCUGCCAAUUGAAAAAAGGUAUAUAGUACCUAAUUAUUUAGACUUUCAUGUAACCUAAAAUCUCAAUACAGAAUUAAUAAUACAUGUGAUGCUUUCUUGGGCAUGAUUGCUGAUACGAGUAUGGUGUAUAGAUACACACACGACUGAAUUACUGUGCCAUCUAUUUUUGGGAGCUCAUUUGUGUAUCUCAAUCAAGAAAAAGGAUAAAAUUGAUAAAUGCAAAUUUUGUAGUCUUAUAUAUUGGUUGCUCAUGUGUGCUGCCACCAUUCAUAUGUUGUAGUGGAGUUUCAACAGAUUGGGAAGGUACCACUCGAGCACGUUCACUCACAGAUAGUUGCAGUGGGGUUUCAGUAGAAAGCCAAGUGAGAUAGCUAACCGCACCAAUCAGUUGUGUGAAUCGCGUGCAAGUGUCCAGUAAAGCGGAGUGGUUGUCACUCCAAGCUGCAAAGUGAAAUAUCACUCUCACUCAGCCACUUAGGUGACUCAACAACCUGACAGAUAAAUGAUUACUGAGACUAUUUAGACUGAAUAAUAGUCCAUGUGAGCAAAAUAGCAUGCUGAUAUCAUCCUAUAAUAAGAGCAGCAGAAUGGGAUAAUGUUGGUGGCUGAGGGUGCCAUAAAAAUUGGGGGGAAUGGGACGUUCUGCUCUUUCUCUUUGCAAACAUUGGGAGGAAUGAAGUGUUCUGCUCAUUUUCUUAGUACAAUGGUAUCAAAAUUCGUUCCUUCAGCGAAGCAGUCCCCUAACAUGUGCACCAAUAGGUCAACAACAUAUCGCUACAAGCACGAUGUAGGGCACUAAUCAGUCAUAUCUAACUUCAGCUCUACGAGAAAUAGUGAAAUUUCUUUUAGAGUAACUGCCAUUUCUUUGCUGGAAUUGUUGUCGACUGUAAAUACGUAUUUGAACCAGAAGUCCUUAUGAAUAUUUUUCAUCAGUAGUCCAGUUUCCACAAUGAUAAGUACUUUCGCACAUUUUCCUUC